UUUCAAAUUGGUUGAGUUUUUGGAUAUAUUAAAACUCUUGUAUAUUAUCACGAGGGAAAUCAAAUCUCCAAGAUAACAGGGAAGUUUAAAUUUGAGUCCAACAGAAACAGUAGGGAUAGGAUAAUUAUCACGAGAUAAUUAUUUGCAACCAAUUCUAUCUUUUGUGAUUUCAUUUAUCUCCAUAGUCGGGUAUUGAGCAUCUAGCCCAAUGGGCUGAUUUCCUCCAAAUACCCAACACAAUUGGG
rnacentral:lncRNA from 1 species